rnacentral:rRNA from 1 species
AACGUAGGGGGCAAGCGUUGUCCGGAAUUAUUGGGCGUAAAGCGCGCGCAGGCGGUGAAUUAAGUCUGAUGUAAAAGCCCACGGCUCAACCGUGGAGGGACAUUGGAAACUGGGACACUUGAGUGCAGGAGAGGGGAGUGGAAUUCCACGUGUAGCGGUGAAAUGCGUAGAUAUGUGGAGGAACACCAGUGGCGAAGGCGGCUCUCUGGCCUGCAACUGACGCUGAGGCGCGAAAGCGUGGGGAGCGAACAGG